CCUGCUGUUCUCCCAGCAGUACCCUACCGGGACAACUGAUGUAUGGCUUGCCCCGUGAAAUAAAAGCUUUGCUAUUUAACGGGGUGAACAAUUAUUGGUCGAAGCUCCCGGGAAAUUGUACAUUCCUUAACUGCCGUCAGAAGGAAGGAGCGAAAAAGAGAAUGAUACGCUCUGUAUCAAAAUGGUGAGCUG
rfam:Bacteroidetes bacterium 4484_276 ex4484_276_scaffold_21898, whole genome shotgun sequence.